AGCGAACGCUGGCGGCAGGCUUAACACAUGCAAGUCGAGCGGGCAUCCUUGUGGUGUCAGCGGCAGACGGGUGAGUAACGCGUGGGAACGUGCCCUUCGGUUCGGAAUAACUCAGGGAAACUUGAGCUAAUACCGGAUACGUGCGAGAGCAGAAAGGUUUAUCUGCCGAAGGAUCGGCCCGCGUCUGAUUAGCUAGUUGGUGAGGUUAUGGCUCACCAAGGCGACGAUCAGUAGCUGGUCUGAGAGGAUGAUCAGCCACACUGGGACUGAGACACGGCCCAGACUCCUACGGGAGGCAGCAGUGGGGAAUAUUGGACAAUGGGGGCAACCCUGAUCCAGCCAUGCCGCGUGAGUGAAGACGGCCUUAGGGUUGUAAAGCUCUUUUCUUCGGGACGAUAAUGACGGUACCGGAGGAAUAAGCCCCGGCUAACUUCGUG
rnacentral:rRNA from 1 species